rfam:Anoxybacillus amylolyticus strain DSM 15939, complete genome.
CACCCUUUUUAAAGGCAGUCCUGCGAGGCUGACAAAGGGGGGAGAUUUAUCAUACCCUCUUUGUGCCUUGCGCGAAGAGGGUUUUUAUU